UGGACUCGCAGCCCCGGGUACUGAGGACAAGCCUGCUCUGCUACUGAAUAGCUGUGAGUCCUUGGUCACUGACUUCACCACUCUGUGCCUCGGUUUCCCCAUCGAUGAAACAGGGAUUAUGAAAGAACUCUCCACACAAGGGUCUCAGUGGGCACGUCUGAUUGGUGGAACCUGGGUCAUGUGACCACCCACUAGCUGCAAGAGAUGCUUGGAAGAGUGAGCACCUAGCAGGUUCAACAUCAGUGAUGGAGGUGAGUAGACUGCGCUUCAAAAGAUGGGGAGCCUCAGACCACUGCAGGGUGUUUAACCCUUCCUCAACUGAUGGAUAUUUAGGUUGCUCCCAGUGGCCAUCUUGACCAUACUCCUUGUGCCUGUGUGGGGAUGUUUCACUAAGGGAGAUGCCACAUCACGGAACUGCAGUGUUCCCCCCAAAAAUGUGAACUUACAGUUUUACUGGCUACUGUAAAAAUUGUCUUCUGGAGAGGCUGUUUCAAUUUACACCACCACCAGCAGUAUAUCAGUGUGACCAUUUCCCAGUCUCCUUAAUUUAACGCUUUACAUCACCAAUCUCAUUCAUGUCAACCUGAGGCAUGGCAAAUGUUCUUGCAUUGUUGUUUUAAUUUGCAUUUGCCUGAUUACCAGCACGAUUGAACAUCUUGCAUGUUUAUUUGCCAUCUGUAUUUUAUGUAAAUUGCCUGUUCACACCCACUACCCAUUAUUCUAGUGGGUUUGUGGUUUUCUUCUUAUUGUUCUGCAGGAACUCUUUAUAUACUGUGGAAAUAAAUUCACAGUCUACAUUUAUGUUUCAAAUAUUUUUACCUAGGUUACCAUUUGUCUUUUAACUUUGGAGUGGCCACAUGCUGUUUUACCCAGGCUCACAACUUUUCUGAGGUUGGGAAAUGAACACUGAUGGGAAGGAGGUGGGGACAACGGGGAAAAGGGAUCUUUCUGACACUACUCUGUUCUCUUCCCACUAGCUCUGAGUACAUUUUGUAACACCCCUCCCAUAUCAUCCUUUCAUUUCCUUGUUCUUGUCACCAAUAGAAAACAGUAAUAGAACCCCAGCCACAGAACUUCUCACUUUCACUUUUCAAUUUUUUUUUUUCAAGCUCAAAGUUUACAGAUUUGGAAUGAAGUAUCCUCAGUGUCCCUGCUGGGGUGAUCAGCCAAGUUGAGUGCCCCUCACAGUUGUCAUUAAUUUACUGAUAUUGCAAAUGAAGAAAGCAGGUUAAUUCAAGUAAUUUGCAAAUUCCUUCCAAAAUUGCCAAUAGUGGGCAAAUUGCUAAACAGUAUAUAGGGCAUGUGGUGAGCAAAUGGCCUGGAGGUGAAAUGGCCUGGUUGAAAUCACACUUGAAAAGCUUUUAUCUCAUUCAUAAAAGGGCAGAGAACAUGGUUUGGUAAAUAUAAACACGUGUGUACUGCAAAGUCAGGGGUUGGCAAGCUAUAGCCCUUGAGCCAAACCUGGCCCACCACCUGUUUUUGUAAAUAAAGUUUUAUUGGCACACAGUCACAGUCAUUUACUGACAUACAGUCUGUGGCUGUUUUCCUGCACCACAGCAGAGUUAAGUAGUUGCAAUAAAGAUGGUAUGGCCCACAAAUCUUAAAACAUUUAUUAUCUGGCUCUUUACAGAAACAUUUUACCAACCUCAGCAGCAAGUAUUAAAAAACACAUAAGUUAUAAUAUUGCAGUAUUUUUAGAGAUAUAAAAUAGAUGAAAAAUUAUUUUUUAAAAAAUGUCUGGCAGAUCAUGUAUGGCUGGAUCUAAGUUAAACGCAUAGAAAGAACAUUCCACUGAAUAACAUGAUCAAGAGUAAGACUUUGGGCCCAGAUAAUUAACUUUUAAAAAUUCUUAGCAAGUUGCUUCGUGUCUCCAACCUCAGUUUUCUCAUCUGUAAAAGAGGGGAUGAUAUUUAGGUCUGACCUCAUAGGGUACAGGCAAAAAAGGCUCUUAGAACAGUGCUGGGCACAUAGUAAGUACUAUGUAAUUAUUUGCUAUUGUUAUCAUUAUUAUUGCACAGAGUCAGGUCUAGAUCGGUGUCAUGGCUGUGCUACUUCUCAGACACGUGACCCUGGACACACAGCUUCCUCUUCCCCAGCCUCAGUCUCCCUACCCAUAAAUCGGGGCCAUAAUGGUUGCCAUCACCUGGAGUUGCUGUGAGGGCUCCUUGGCACAGUAUCUGGCACACAGUAGGCACCCAACACAGAUGAGCUGUUACUGCCAGCAUUCCCAUCAUUCUGACUCAAAGCCUCUGCACUGACUGGAACUCAGUCCCAUCGUUCCUCUGGAAGGCAGGCCAUGACUCCAGACCCGCCGUGUACCAGCACUGACUAUUUUCCACCCAGUGACUGUUUAUUUUAACUGUCCUCCUAAAGUAACUCCUCAGCCAUCAAACGACUGUUUACAAAGCCCACAAUUAACCUUCUUGGAACAACAAAUAAACAGGAACCUAA